UGAGUAACGCGUGAGAAUCUGCCUACAGGUGGAAGACAAGCACUGGAAACGGUGGCUAAUACCGGAUGUGCAGAAAUGUAAAAGAUUUAUCGCCUGAAGAGGGACUUGGGUUUGAUUAGGUAGUUGGUGGGGUAAAAGGUCAACAAGGGGAAGGUCAGUAAGUGGUUUGAGGGGAAGAUCAACCACAACGGGAAUGAGACACGGCCCAGAAUCCUAAGUGGGGAAGCCGU
rnacentral:rRNA from 1 species